ensembl:lncRNA
AGAGAGGCAGAGAGAUGUAUUUAGAGAAAUGUAGGGAGAGAGAGAGAGAGCGAGAGAGAGGUAGAGAGAUGGAGAGAGACAGAGAGUGAGAGAGUGAGGCAGAGAGAAAUGGAGAGAAAAGGAAAAGAGGGAGGCGGGCAGAGAGAAAUGGAGAGAGAGAGAGAGAGAGCGAUGUAGACCGAGAGAGACAGAAGGAGAGAGCGAUGUAGAGAAACAGAGACAGAGAGAGAAGGAAAAGAGGGAGGCAGGCAGAGAGAGAUGGUGAGAGAGACAGAGAGAGAAGGAAAAGAGGGAGGCAGGCAGAGAGAGAGAGAUGGCGAGAGAGACAGGGAGAAGGAAAAGAGGGAGGCUGGCAGAGAGAGAGAGAGAGAGACAGAGAGAGAAGGAAAAGAGGGAGGCAGGCAGAGAGAGAGAGAUGGCGAGAGAGACAGGGAGAAGGAAAAGAGGGAGGCUGGCAGAGAGAGAGAGAUGUAGAGAGAGAGAUGGCGAGAGAGACAGGGAGAAGGAAAAGAGGGACGCAGGCAGAGAGAGAUGGCGAGAGAGACAGGGAGAAGGAAAAGAGGGAGGCAGGCAGAGAGAGAUGGUGAGAGAGACAGAGAGAGAAGGAAAAGAGGGAGGGAGGCAGGCAGAGAGAGAGAGAUGGCGAGAGAGACAGGGAGAAGGAAAAGAGGGAGGCAGGCAGAGAGAGAGAGAUGGCGAGAGAGACAGGGAGAAGGAAAAGAGGGAGGCAGGCAGAGAGAGAGAUGUAGAGAGAGAGAGAUGUAGAGAGAGAGAGAUGGCAAGAGAGACAGGGAGAAGGAAAAGAGGGAGGCAGGCAGAGAGAGAGAUGUAGAGAGAGAGAGAUGUAGAGAGAGAGAGAUGUAGAGAGAGACAGAUGGCGAGAGAGACGGAGAAGGAAAAGAGGGAGGCAGGCAGAGAGAGAGAUGUAGAGAGAGAGAGAUGGCGAGAGAGACAGGGAGAAGGAAAAGAGGGAGGCAGGCAGAGAGAGAGAUGUAGAGAGAGAGAGAUGGCGAGAGAGACAGGGAGAAGG